UCUGGAAAGGCGCGCGAUACAGGGUGACAGCCCCGUACACAAAAGCACAUGUGCUGUGAGCUCGAUGAGUAGGGCGGGACACGUGGUAUCCUGUCUGAAUAUGGGGGGACCAUCCUCCAAGGCUAAAUACUCCUGACUGACCGAUAGUGAACCAGUACCGUGAGGGAAAGGCGAAAAGAACCCCGGCGAGGGGAGUGAAAAAGAACCUGAAACCGUGUACGUACAAGCAGUGGGAGCCCCACCACUAAGCCAGUGGUGAACUCCACAUACGCAUCCUUUGCUGAGGAUACGGUUAACGGAGCGAAAGCGACGUUCAACCGCAAAAGAAGCAGAGGGGGCUUAGUGGUGGGGUGACUGCGUACCUUUUGUAUAAUGGGUCAGCGACUUAUAUUCUGUAGCAAGGUUAACCGAAUAGGGGAGCCGGAGGGAAACCGAGUCUUAACCGGGCGUUAAGUUGCAGGGUAUAGACCCGAAACCCGGUGAUCUAGCCAUGGGCAGGUUGAAGGUUGGUUAACACUAACUGGAGGACCGAACCGACUAAUGUUGAAAAAUUAGCGGAUGACCUGUGGCUGGGGGUGAAAGGCCAAUCAAACCGGGAGAUAGCUGGUUCUCCCCGAAAGCUAUUUAGGUAGCGCCUCGUGAAUUCAUCUCCGGGGGUAGAGCACUGUUUCGGCUAGGGGGCCAUCCCGGCUUACCAACCCGAUGCAAACUGCGAAUACCGGAGAAUGUUAUCACGGGAGACACACGGCGGGUGCUAACGUCCGUCGUGAAGAGGGAAACAACCCAGACCGCCAGCUAAGGUCCCAAAGUCAUGGUUAAGUGGGAAACGAUGUGGGAAGGCCCAGACAGCCAGGAUGUUGGCUUAGAAGCAGCCAUCAUUUAAAGAAAGCGUAAUAGCUCACUGGUCGAGUCGGCCUGCGCGGAAGAUAUAACGGGGCUAAACCAUGCACCGAAGCUGCGGCAGCGAACGUAUCACCCAAGACAACUUUGCACAGUUGACGAUUGACGGAGCGGAGCGACGUCAAAGCGUUUUACAACGUCGAGUUGGCUUAGGGAUACGUUCGUUGGGUAGGGGAGCGUUCUGUAAGCCUGCGAAGGUGGCCUG
rnacentral:rRNA from 1 species